rnacentral:rRNA from 1 species
UACAGAGGUCUCAAGCGUUGUUCGGAUUCACUGGGCGUAAAGGGUGCGUAGGCGGUCGGGUAAGUCUGGCGUGAAAUCUCCAAGCCUAACUUGGAAACUGCGUUGGAUACUAUCCGGCUCGAGGAAUGGAGGGGAGACUGGAAUACUUGGUGUAGCAGUGAAAUGCGUAGAUAUCAAGUGGAACACCAGUGGCGAAGGCGAGUCUCUGGACAUUUCCUGACGCUGAGGCACGAAAGCCAGGGGAGCAAACGGG